AAAAAGAAAAACAUCCAUUCAUGAGAGUUCAGGGAUACGUGAAAAUGAAGCAAAUGAGGAAAGACCCAUUCACAUUCCUCCAAAAGAUCUGUGGCUCACUGGAAUCAUGUUACUGGCUCCUGGUAGUCCCUGACUUUACCUGUUUGUUCCAGGAACUUGCUUUAUGGCCAUUUGUUCUAAUGAUCAGUUUGGACAACCAACCUUUAUUCCUCCACCUCAGACAAUAUUCAACAUCCUGUAAUCAUCAUAGCGUUCUGGAGGUCAGUAAGUCCAAUAUCAAGGUGCCAGCAUCAGGCAUUAUGGCCAGCACACUUCCUGCGAAUUUGUACCACCACCCCUUAUCUCAUCUAUGCUUCUGCUCACAGCACUGCACUGGAGCCAGGGGAUGGAUACCUGGCACUUGUAUGUCCUAUGAAGAAAGAGAGGAGGAUACAUUGCUUCCCUAUGUAUCCUUAAGGGAUAGACCAGAGGAAAAGUUAAGUAAUAGAUAAACAAUCAAUAAUACCUAAUUGGUUUCCCAAUCAAUUAGCACUUACUGUGUUGGAUUUGUUCACUUUCAGCCAUAGUUACACCUUGAAUUUCUGUAUUUCCAAAGUGGGCUCUUUUUUUUCUAAGGAAUUUCCUCAAUUUUUUCGUGUAAGUAGGCUUCUGAGGAGUCUAUUUCACUGAUUUUUGUGAUAUAUUUAAUCAUUCCAGGGCUACAAAAUUUAAGCUGAAUUUAAAUUAUUCAUAAUAUAACAAUCUCUCUUCCUCUGUCUCUCUUUCUUUCUAUAUCUUUCAUUACAUAUAUGUAAUAAAAUAUUUUCAUUAUA